rnacentral:rRNA from 1 species
AGGCCAGACUCCUACGGGAGGCAGCAGUGGGGGAUAUUGCACAAUGGGGGGAACCCUGAUGCAGCGACGCCGCGUGGGUGAAGGAGUAUUUCGGUAUGUAAAGCCCUAUCGGCAGGGAAGAAGAAAGACGGUACCUGACUAAGAAGCCCCGGCUAAAUACGUGCCAGCAGCCGCGGUAAUACGUAGGGGGCGAGCGGUAUCCGGAUUCACUGGGUGUAAAGGGAGCGUAGACGGCCAAGCAAGCCAGGGGUGAAAGCCCGGGGCCCAACCCCGGGACUGCUCUUGGAACUGCGUGGCUAGAGUGCAGGAGGGGCAGGCGGAAUUCCUGGUGUAGCGGUGAAAUGCGUAGAUAUCAGGAGGAACACCGGUGGCGAAGGCGGCCUGCUGGACUGCAACUGACGUUGAGGCCCGAAAGCGUGGGGAGCAAACAGGAUUAGAUACCCUGGUA